AUGGAAAUAGGAAAUAAGGUUUACCUAAAUAACAUUGAGCAGAUAGAUGAAAAAUCGCAUAUCAAGGUUCGGGUGCUUAAAAUUUGGAACUUUGUCAGAAAUAAUAAAGUUUGUUCGAUUGAAAUGAUCAUCAUGGACGAGGAGGGUACACAAUACCAAGCUCGUGUCUUCAAUCAAAAUUUCUCCAGAUUUCGUCAUCUUUUAAAGGAAGAUGAAAGUUAUAUAGUUAUAAAACCUAAUAUGGCUGCUGUUACUAAUGGUUUUAGUUAUACAGGUCAUAAACAGACCUUAACUUUGGAUUGGAAAAGCAUCCUAAAAAAAUGUGAUGAUUUCUCGGGUCCGGUCAAUGGAUUUAUGUUUGUUGACUUUAAUUGUAUCAUAGAACAAACAUGCCCAAGAGACACAUUCUUUGAUGUUAUUGGACAUAUCGUGUCAUUUAGGCCUCUUGAAACUUCAAAUCCAGCACCAUCCAAGCAUUAUAUAAAACUCACUCUUAGCAACCUAGAUUCUGUACAUCUGAAGGUUACUAUUUUUGGAAGUCAAGCAUAUCAGAUUUCAGAAUACCUAAAAAAUAACCCGACGGUUAAUUUUGUUGUUAUCGUGAUGCAGUUUUUUAAGCUAAACAUUUGGAAUGGUCUUGGUGAAGCUAAAAGUCAUUUUGAAGUAACGAAAUUAUUCAUAAAUUCUGACAUUUAUGAAAUAAUGAGUUUAAAAAUAAGUUAGUUUCCAAUUAUGACUUUAAGGGCAAUUUUCCAUUAAAAACAGUCUGUGAGAUCACCGAACCAAUUAAGGAAAUGAAGUUUUUAUUAGUUGCUUUCAUUGUUAAUAUAAGGCAGAAUCUACCAUGGUAUUAUGAAGCAUGCAAAAAAUGUGGAAAAAAAAUUAUCCCUGUUCCCAAAACCAAUCAUUCGUAUACCAAACCUGAGGGAAUUUCAGAAACUAUGGUUGUCGAGUGUACAAAUGCACAAUGCAAAAAAUCUGAAUUUCAGUAUAUAAUUCCAAUUAAUGUACAAGAUUGUACUGGAACCAUUGGAUUGACUCUUUUUGAUAGGGAAGCAAGGAGGUUGUUAAAUAUAAGUGCCUACGAGUUGAAAAAGAUAGAUGAUGCGGCCGGAGACAGUGAUGCCCUAUUUCCAAUGCAACUUAACGUGUUGAAAAACCGCAAGUUUGCUUUUGUUGUAGAUAUUACAGAAUACAAUGUCAACAACUAUAAUAACAUCUACACAGUUCUCAGAGUUACAGAAGAUAUGUCCAUUGUUUCUGAAUUAGAAAGUAAAAUAGAACUUAUGAGUAUUCAAUCUGUCUCCUUAAAUCAAGUUGCUUUGGAAUCCAAUGAUGUUGUACAGCCUGUUCAAAAGGAUGUGAUCUCACAAACAGACGAAAGUUUUACACCCUCAACAGUUGAUAAGUCAACCGCAACAAGUCCAAGCAAAAUAUCAUGUGAUUUGAAGCGCAACCUCCAAGAAAUUUAUGAUGUUGAUUCUGGAUAUGAUUUAAGUUCAACUAAGGCUAAAAGAAUUUCAACCGCAGAGGAAACUCCACUUUUGAUUCCAAAAAAGGAAAAGUGA